rnacentral:rRNA from 1 species
UACGUAGGGUCCAAGCGUUGUCCGGAUUUAUUGGGCGUAAAGAGCUCGUAGGCGGCUCAGUAAGUCGGAUGUGAAAACUCGGGGCUCAACCCCGAGACGCCAUCCGAUACUGCUGUGGCUUGAGUCUGGUAGGGGAACACGGAAUUCCUGGUGUAGCGGUGAAAUGCGCAGAUAUCAGGAGGAACACCGGUGGCGAAGGCGGUUCUCUGGGCAUGAUCUGACGCUGAGGAGCGAAAGUGUGGGGAGCGAACAGG